rnacentral:lncRNA from 7 species
GAAUAUCUGCAAAAUGCAAGCAGAAGGAAAGCUGUGGUUCAAGGUGCUGAAGAAAUGCCAAAGGACAAGCUAAUGCUGCAUGUUGCUAGCCACCUGCUGCAGGAUACUUCACCCAUUUGGAGAACCGUGCAUAGAACACUACCACCUUCAGUCAGCAGGAUGUGUCUGAUACGAGAGCUGCUACCUGCCACCUGAUGUGUCUCACCCUGGGAGACAGGACGAUGAAGUAAUGGAGCCUGGCUGUCUGCAGCCAGGGCUGCUGUACUACAUCCAAAGCAAGCUUGAAGUCAGCAAGUGCUGCAUUAAUCUUUCUGGGAGUGUUUGUUUUGCUUGUUUUGUUAGGCUACAUUUCAAGCAACUGAUAAUGUGUUCGUGAGCAGUUCUCCUGUUGCAGCCCAUUUUUCAAAGGAAGUGUGAAGACCGAUGCUCCAAAGUAACAUUUCUACCCUGAAGUCAAAUCAUCUGCUUAGCAUCUUGCUCUGGAAGGACCCACAACUGCAGCUCUGGCACACAGAGAACAGGACGCCUAAAUGGGGAAUGCUGGUGCUCAUCCACUCCUGCUGCGUGAAUGAACACUGUGAGAAUUCCCUUGACACAGGAAAGUGUUGUGGUAUCAGACUCAACAUUAAUUGGUGUGGUAACAGGAGGGUUCCUCCAGGCUCAAGAAACAUUAUAAAACCCCCCUUCUCCAAAUCAGCUGCUAACAGUCAAUUUAAGAGAGCUUCACAUCUUGUAUUCUGCUGCAUACAUCUUUUUGAAGUGUAAUGCCAAUCCUGACCUCUGUGACACACCAUCUUACAGUUACAUAGUAGGACAGUCAUGUCCUAUCAUGUAAGACACCCUACAAGCUGCUGCAAAUGACAGUGGGGAGACUGUACAGCUCUUGGUGAUGCAAGGUCCUUGAUAUGGACUUAUCACACUGUGAGGUGUAUUGUGGCAGAUGGGGGUUAAACUGUUGGCAAUCCAGUGCCUACAAAAUCUAAGCAUGGUUUCUCUUGCAGGACUUAUCCUCCUAAUUUUCUUGAGAAAGGAUGGAGUCUUUUGUAUAUUACAUAGAAAGAAUAACAGAAGUUCUUUGGAAAAACAAAAUAUAUGCUCUGCGAUUUCUGAAGUGAGAGUACACAGAGUUCAGGUAUGCCAAUUCCAUUUGCAUGUUUCUUUGGAAUGCUGAAAUGAAUACAGCAAAUGAAUAGUAAUGUCAAGACACUGCAAAAACAAAAAGCACUGAAAGAGAAUUCUCGUGGACUGAUGAACUGAGAGCUGAAAUGGGAGCAGCAGAUUUUACAGUGUGAGUGAUGCUAAUUUUUCAGCCUAACAACCAACCAUGCACUGAAGCCCUGCUACUUCUGAGCUGACAUCAUCCAGAUGAGAAAGCUUCUUUCUAGUAACUUAUCAGCCUGGAAAACCAGCCCUGCAGGGUAACACCCAACCCAUGCUUUAAAUGUCAAGGAGAAAAACAUCUUUGUAUUGCCGAGCAGUCACAGCAGCUUCACUUCUGAUUUGAUAGCCUUGGAUGGAAGCAGGUACCAGCAUGAUGAUUCAGAAACCCUUGAAGAUAUAGUCAUAUUUUCAGCAACAGAUGGAUUUAACACUGCAGAUGGAGUGUUAAGAGUGCAGGGCUGCUGGAGACCUGCCAACAGGAACUACUGACUGCAGAUUUGGGAAGAACGCAGGCAGUUUGGAAAGCGCGGUUUGCAGAGUUGUCUGUGGACUCUGAGAACAUAUUUAAAACCAGAAUUCUCUCUGGAACAUUGACUCUCGCUUGAUGGUAUGAUAGACUUCUACUUUAGAUCUGGAUUCAGAAGUAGUGGAUCACGCUUUAAUGUUGGUCUGCCCUCAUCAUUUGGAAGAGAAAAAACAAACAUUCCUGUGCCUCAGCUCAUCAGUGUCUGCAGCUGACUCAAUCAGCUGUAGAACUGAAGGGAAGGAAACAUAAAUUGAUGUGAAGAAAAUGUUCUCCCUGAAGCUGCACAAGCAGCAAUGAUUGUCAAAAGCUGAUCUUUAUCCCUUCAAAGACCUGCAGAUGGGGUCACUGAUCACAUCGUCUCAUUCAUUGGUUGGACUUCUAUAUACAACGUUUGGAAUAAAGGAUUGCCUCAUGAGGUUCCCGCUGGCUGGUUGCAAUACCACUGAGAAUGGAAGGUCCAAAGCUGCAGCAGGAGGAAGGAACUUGGAAAAUGCAACUGGUGCGGAAGAGCGAGCAAGGUCACUGGUGACAAGGCUCUGCUCCAUCUGUGCAGGCAUGCUCUUGAACAGAAGCAUUCCAGCAACAUGGCAUUUUGUCACAUUAUUCCAUUCCUUAUAAAUUUCAAUAGCCAGUUAUUUGCCUGCCUUUAGUUGGGAAACAAAGCCCCUCUUUGUGCAGCAACACAACGUGGCUAUCUCAUGUAACGGAGAAAUGAAAAGCAAAUAACGCAGGAAUUGUGCUUGUCUGGGGAAGAGGAAAGCAUUGUCUUGUGACAAGAGGAGAAGAAAGUGGUGUUGCCCAGUGCUUCCGACUGUCAGUCCUAAAAGAUAGAAGAAACCACCAUUUGUGGAGUCUUCUGAUAACACUGACAUUGAAAUCUCCCAUGUCCCCAUUUCAUCAUUCCCAGAGUGGGGAUGAAAAUUAAUCUGCUCUUUUAUGCAAUUCAGCAAAGCAUUUUAAAUUGCUUUUUUCCUUUUUAAGUAUACUAGAUGUCCAACUGCCUACACAGAGCAACAUUCAUGCUGAGGUAUGCAGUGGCGUUGGGUCUGAAUUAUUUGUAAAGGACUUAGAGAAUUCUAAGUGAGAGUCAUUAAAUUACAGAGU